GAUCAAGUAUUUGUUGUGAUUUGUCAGAGUCGUCAGGGCCGGGAGGAGCUCUAGGAUUCGGACCUUGUUACUGAUGUGGGAAAUAUUGAACGCGAACAUGGCUGUCUUCUCAGUGUCCCAACUUGCAAGACUCACAUUGGUAUCUCUCUCAGGCUGGUCCUGGAAAGACACAUGGCAAUGGGUUAAAGAGUAGAAGGAUGAGAAGGCAUUUCAUGUCAAGUCAGAAUCCUGCUUGCCCCAGGAGAAGAGGGGGAUCAGCAGUGUGCAAUGUGAGUCCAGUUUUGGCAUGGGUCGGCCCCCGCAUUUUGGAGAAAUCAAUUUUCAACAAGAAGAUUAAGAGAAUGAGAAAGAGAAACAUAUAUCAAGAACACCCAGCUGGGAGAUGAUCUUCAAGGGGCCAAAGUAGAAUCUCCGGGCAACGAGGACAUGACCUGUCCAUCUCCAUUAUCCCCAGACUGAAGAUGGGAAGGAGUCUUCUAACCACCUUUGAACUUGAUGAAGAAAUUAUUCCCUGACAACCUCUUCAAAGGCAAUGAUGAUCCCAUAUUGUCCAUGGACUAUGGAAGAGUUCCCUGAUCCCCAGUCUUUCUCUACUAAUAGAAGCUUUGGAGAGACAUUUCCCAUGGUAGAGUGAGAGCCCCCCAGUUGUGAAACUGAACCAUAUUCAUGAAGUCCCCAAAACACUUAAUGGAUGUUGUUUGAAAGUAGAAAAAGGAAGGAGGAAAAGAGAGACAGUGAUUAAUAUUGGAAUAUAUUCCAAAUCAGCAUCAUGACUUAGUGCUGAAAGCAAGAGGUAUGUGAAACAUGAUGAAGCUAACCCACAGGUGGGCACAGGCAGCUCAUGAGGGCGUGCGGGUGGAGCACUCACCGUUGCACUGGCCUGUGGAAGUGAAGCGGUAGCCGGGCUUGCAGUCACAUCGGAAACUGCCUGCUGUGUUGAUGCACUCGGCAUUGCGCUGGCACACAGGACCGUUCUGACACUCGUCAAUAUCUCCAAGCAGAAGAGAAUUUUAUUAGAAGGAGAACAGAAUGUGGUGUCAAGCUGAUGAAGCCUCUCACAUAAAACAGAUUUCUAUUUUCUUAUUUUGAUCAGUUCUAUGAACACAAGGGAACACUGAAGAGUCCCUUUCUACUUUUUCCGCUUUGCUAAUAUUUUUCAUAAAUGCGAGUACUUGGUUUAUGACCACAUAUGGUCUCUAAUGAUGCUGUGUCUGAAAAAAAAAAAAAA